AAUGGGCCUGAUCGAAGCUAUAAUUGUCCAAUUGUGGUUGUUGUAGUCAUAUUUAGGCCGAGAGUGAUCCCUUCUCAAAGGUCACUCACUGAGUUAGCAUAUUCUUUGAGUAUCACCCAAGAAGGAUACAUUU